CAUUCGAUGAGCAGGAUGAACAAAUUACUGAAGCCCUAACACAGUUCCUAGGAUGGUCUGUACUGAAUUGUGACACAUAUGACAAACUGAAUCGGACAGAGUGGAGAAGAGAGAUUGCAGCGGAAAUGGUCAUGUACCAGACCAAAGCCACCCCAGCUGAAGUCCAACAGAUUCUGAACACGAAGGAGAAGUUUGACAUGAACCCUGAGGACUGCGAUCAGAGAGAAAUGUACAAACUCUUGGUAUGACUUUUUUUUUACUCUGAACC